GAUGAACGCUGGCGGCGUGCCUAAUACAUGCAAGUCGAGCGAACGGACGAGAAGCUUGCUUCUCUUAUGUUAGCGGCGGACGGGUGAGUAACACGUGGAUAACCUACCUAUAAGACUGGGAUAACUUCGGGAAACCGGAGCUAAUACCGGAUAAUAUUUUGAACCGCAUGGUUCAAAAGUGAAAGACGGUCUUGCUGUCACUUAUAGAUGGAUCCGCGCUUCAUUAGCUAGUUGUUAAGGUAACGGCUUACCAAGGCAACGAUGCAUAGCCGACCUGAAAGGGUGAUCGGCAACACUGGAACUGAGACACGGUCCAGACUCCUACGGGAGGCAGCAGUAGGGAAUCUUCCGAAAUGGGCGAAAGCCUGACGGAGCAACGCCGCGUGAGUGAUGAAGGUCUUCGGAUCGUAAAACUCUGUUAUUAGGGAAGAACAUAUGUGUAAGUAACUGUGCACAUCUUGACGGUACCUAAUCAGAAAGCCACGGCUAACUACGUG
rnacentral:rRNA from 1 species